UACGGAGGGUGCAAGCGUUGUUCGGAUUUAUUGGGCGUAAAGGGCGUGUAGGCGGUUCGUUAAGUCUGAUGUGAAAGCCCCGGGCUCAACCCGGGAAGUGCAUUGGAAACUGGCGAACUUGAGUACGGGAGAGGGCAGUGGAAUUCCUAGUGUAGGAGUGAAAUCCGUAGAUAUUAGGAGGAACACCGGUGGCGAAGGCGGCUGCCUGGACCGAUACUGACGCUGAGGCACGAAAGCGUGGGGAGCAAACAGG
rnacentral:rRNA from 1 species